GACGAACGCUGGCGGCGUGCUUAACACAUGCCAGUCGAACGGAAAGGCCUGCUUUCCCUUGUGGAUUGCGGGUACACGAGUGGCGAACGGGUGAGUAACACGUGAGUGAUCUGCCCCCAACUUGGGUAUAAGCCUGGGAAACUGGGUCUAAUUCCCGAUAGGACUGCAGGGUGGUGCCUGUGGUGGAAAACGAUUUUCUAGUGGUUGGGGAUGAGCUCGCGGCCUAUCAGCUUGUUGGUGGGGUAAUGGCCUACCAAGGCGGCGACGGGUAGCCGGCCUGAGAGGGUGGACGGCCACAUUGGGACUGAGAUACGGCCCAGACUCCUACGGGAGGCAGCAGUGGGGAAUAUUGCACAAUGGGCGGAAGCCUGAUGCAGCGACGCCGCGUGGGGGAUGACGGCCUUCGGGUUGUAAACUCCUUUCGACCGCGAGGAAGCCACCUGGUUGGAAGGGUGGUGACGGUAGUGGUAGAAGAAGCACCGGCUAACUACGUG
rnacentral:rRNA from 1 species